ACAGUGGUGGCUCAGUGGUAGAAUUCUCACCCUCCACGUGGAAGAUCUAGGUUCAAUUCCUGGCCAAUGCA
rnacentral:tRNA from 1 species